AUGCAAGUCGAACGGUAACAGGAAGCAGCUUGCUGCUUUGCUGACGAAUGGCGGACGGGUGAGUAAUGUCUGGGGAUCUGCCUGAUGGAGGGGGAUAACUACUGGAAACGGUAGCUAAUACCGCAUAACGUCGCAAGACCAAAGAGGGGGACCUUCGGGCCUCUUGCCAUCAGAUGAACCCAGAUGGGAUUAGCUAGUAGGUGGGGUAACGGCUCACCUAGGCGACGAUCCCUAGCUGGUCUGAGAGGAUGACCAGCCACACUGGAACUGAGACACGGUCCAGACUCCUACGGGAGGCAGCAGUGGGGAAUAUUGCACAAUGGGCGCAAGCCUGAUGCAGCCAUGCCGCGUGUAUGAAGAAGGCCUUCGGGUUGUAAAGUACUUUCAGCGAGGAGGAAGGUGGUGAGCUAAAUACGCUCAUCAAUUGACGUUACUCGCAGAAGAAGCACCGGCUAACUCCGUGCCAGCAGCCGCGGUAGUACGGAGGGUGCAAGCGUUAAUCGGAAUUACUGGGCGUAAAGCGCACGCAGGCGGUCUGUCAAGUCGGAUGUGAAAUCCCCGGGCUCAACCUGGGAACUGCAUCCGAAACUGGCAGGCUUGAGUC
rnacentral:rRNA from 1 species